UACGUAGGGUGCGAGCGUUGCCCGGAUUUAUUGGGCGUAAAGGGCGCGUAGGCGGCCACGCACGUCCGUUGUGAAAUCGCCCGGCUCAACUGGGCGGGGUCGGCGGAUACGGCGUGGCUGGAGCAAGCUAGGGGGCAAUGGAAUUCCCGGUGUAGUGGUGAUAUGCGUAGAUAUCGGGAGGAACACCUGUGGCGAAGGCGGCUUUCUGGGCCUUACCUGACGCUGAGACGCGAAAGCGUGGGGAGCGAACCGG
rnacentral:rRNA from 1 species